UCUACACAUCCGGCCAAAAUGGACUAUCGAGGGAAAUCUAAUCCAAAUGUUUUUCAAUAAAAAUUACAAAGAAGGUCAAUCAUGAUAAUAUGGCAAUGGCAGCAGAAAGUCCUGGGACUCUACCAGGAAGACGAGGAACACUGUCAACAGCUCUUGAGACCAGUGGCAGUGCUGGAGCAAAGCAGGGAGCUGUAAUAGCCCAGACAACCCCUUAAAUAAUGUGACCUCCAGGAUGAUCAGCUGCUCCCAGCACCAGG